GAUUCACUACAGACCGACAGCAAAGACACACACACACACACACACACACACGGCUGGUCACUGUGCCACACCGCCAAGCAGCACUAUCUCAUGCCAAUGUGCCAGUCACAGCUGAAAGGAGCGGAAGCUGUGAUGCAGUAGAUCCUGACUGAAGUAAUACUAAGGAGGAGAUGAAUGGGGGGACUGUGAUUGCAGGUUGCCAGAUUCUCCUCCCUGACAAUGCAGCCAGGGCCCAGCAUCCGCCACUCACUGGAGCCCCUUUCAGGAUGUUUUCAUUUACAGUUGCCAUGGAGAGGGGUCCCUUGACUGAUGAUGUGUGAGGUAUAGGCGGGAAUGUGUAUGUGUAUGUGUUUUGGUGGUGUGUUUAUGUGACUGCGUGUUUGUGUGUUCAUGGUUGUGUGUGUUUCUGCACAUACACGCACGUGAAGGCAUACAUGUGUGAGUGGGACCUCAGGCUCUGCUCAGGGGAUAUGGGGUCCUGGUGUAGGAGGUAUUCAUGAAAGGCUGUUGAACACGGGGUCCUGGUGUAGGAGGUAUUCAUGAAAGGCUGUUGAACAUGGGGUCCUGGUGUAGGAGGUAUUCAUGAAAGGCUGUUGAACAUGGGGUCCUGGUGUAGGAGGUAUUCAUGAAAGGCUGUUGAACAUGGGGUCCUGGUGUAGGAGGUAUUCAUGAAAGGCUGUUGAACAUGGGGUCCUGGUGUAGGAGGUAUUCAUGAAAGGCUGUUGAACAUGGGGUCCUGGUGUAGGAGGUAUUCAUGAAAGGCUGUUGAACAUGGGGUCCUGGUGUAGGAGGUAUUCAUGAAUGGCUGUUGAACAUGGGGUCCUGGUGUAGGAGGUAUUCAUGAAAGGCUGUUGAACAUGGGGUCCUGGUGUAGGAGGUAUUCAUGAAAGGCUGUUGAACAUGGGGUCCUGGUGUAGGAGGUAUUCAUGAAAGGCUGUUGAACAUGGGGUCCUGGUGUAGGAGGUAUUCAUGAAAGGCUGUUGAACAUGGGGUCCUGGUGUAGGAGGUAUUCAUGAAAGGCUGUUGAACAUGGGGUCCUGGUGUAGGAGGUAUUCAUGAAAGGCUGUUGAACAUGGGGUCCUGGUGUAGGAGGUAUUCAUGAAAGGCUGUUGGAAGAAAGUGGAAUAAGACAAGAAAGUGGAAGUAUGGUGUAAUCACGAACAGCUGCUAUCCGACGGCUGUUUAUACAGCGGACAUGCACACACUACACAGAGGAAGGCACACACACACACACGUUACAAAGUAGACGACACAGCUGCCAAGGGUAGGGCACUGAUGGACUGACUACGCAACUGGGCUUAGGGGA